AAUUUAUUUGUUUGACUUGGGAUUUGAAUUUGAUAUGAAGGAGGAAGCGGCGGUGGCGUCGACGGAAGCCACAAAGGGCAACCGAAGCUAGGGAAGUAGGGAUCGAUUGAAGUGGACGACGGGAUCUUCGGAGAAACGACGGUGGCUACAAACAACGAAAUCAGAGAGAGAGAGAGAGAGAGGGAGCGGCGAAUGGCCAUCCGGUGGCACCGGCGAUUGGUAAACGCCGAAGACUCGAAGGUAUGCUUCUUGCUCGUUCUUCUCCUAUCUGCUAUUCUUUCCGACCACUGACUUCGCUCGUCCAUUUCUUUCUCCUUCGAUCUCAGUGACGAACAAUUUGACAAGCAGGAGGAGAUGACGUUGCUGCCAGAACCUUCCAUCCCUCUUCUCGUCUGACGAUUACCGAGGAACUGUAAGCUCCUUCAACCCUUGUCUGUUUCUCUUCGUAUCGUUGAGGGUUUCGAUCUACCCCUUAAUUGUCGACACUUGUGUGCUUUUUCUUCUUAGGACUCGAACAACAACAACAACAACAAAAAAACUGGGAAGAAGGCAUACGAUGCAUUAGACGUGGCUAACAAAAUCGUAAUCAUCUAAGCUAAAGAGGCCUCAGCCGAGGGACAUGGCUGGAAUUCAGCCAGGUAGUGUACAGGUAAGAACCGUAUGACUCUGCCACGGUGUUGUUGACGUGUGAUUGAAAUUGGUUUGUGAGACUUAGCUUUGUUUAAUGGUGUAGAACUAUGGUUGUUUAAUGGAUGUUUGUGUGAGCUAUGGUUGAGUUCCUUUGGUGAGAUAAAAAACUUGCAUGCAAAAGGGUUUGCUUGAACAUAUGGCUCCUGAACUUGCCCAUAUCAUAGGUUCGUCGUGACAACUAUCCUUACUCUGCAUUUUUAGCCGUUGCUUAAAAUUUGGCUGCGUUUUUGGUGAUUGUUCUGGCUUGAAUUGUGAUGUCUUGUCUCGGUUUGAAUGCUUAAUCGUUGGCUGAGUUUUGGGUGAUGGUUUGGUUUUUGUGGUAUUUAGUGGGGCUUUCGGGUAGAAAUGUCUUGGUUUGAGUCUCCGGUGAUGGUUUGGUUGCAAGAAUCGAGUGUAUCUUUCGCCUGAGUGUCCUUUUUCUGUUGAUCCUGCCUCAUUGAUGAACAAUAAUGUUUAAUGAGCUUCGAACAGAUUCUAUCAGAAUGUAGUUCUAGGGAUUUGUUGACUAGGAUUGAAUCCGGAGCCUUGGUUAUUUAGUUUCACAACUGGUACUGGCUCGUUAAGUUGAUCAUUUCAUUCAAUUUAUUCUUUUGCGGAUGAAACAUAUAGCAAGACGAUGCCAGAGGCCAAGACACAGGCUGCCAAUGCAUCUGUUUUUGGCUUGCUAUCAAACCAUGAGUGGUAAUGGCACCCUUCUAAUGCACAAGCUAGCUCUCGGCCUAAUUUUUCUCCUAGUUUCUUUUUUCCUUUGUAUAAUUUCUCCAAGGCCGGCUAUGGUUAUGUUGAGGGUACAAUUGAGAAACUCAAUGAUCUAAAUCCCGAGCUGCGUAUAUCUCGACCUUUUCUAUUGAAAAUUGCUUUCCAACUUCACUUCAGUUGUGAUUUUUCAACUCAUCUCAUGUACUGUCUGUUAUUACGUUUUAAACAUAUUCGAUCAAUCUACUAAGCUCGAAAGUCAAUUAUAACGUGCUUAUGAUGCUGUGGAUUAGAUCACUGCUGCCAUUUCAGUUGCUUUUAAUCCUACUGGAACCAAGUAAGCAAAUGAAUCUUCCAAAGGUCAUUAUUAUUCUAUUAAUUGAGGAAAUUUGGAAUUGUUUUUAUUGUUCUGUCUGAAAUGGUUGAACUCUGACAACCAAUGACAUGAACUUUCAUGUGGGAUGAUCUUUCUUCGACAGGAUAUAUGCUGGAUAUAACAAGUGCAUCAUGGAACUCUUGUAUCUCCUUCAUGGACAAGAAGGUGGAAUUACACAUGUAAGUCAGAAUUCAAUUUUGUUUACCUUGAUUCUACUUUGGGAUCAAUAAUGACUUGAUUCCUUUUCCAAUUAGGUGCAAUUCUCAAAUGAUGGAAACUAUUUAUAUACCGGAGGCCGAAAGGUUGAGCUCUCUUUAGAUGAACGGUAGUUGCUUGUUUAAUGCCCCUUUUGAGCAUGUGAUCCUCUAUAGUUCCUAUUUGUCCAUUUGACCUCUACAUGUAGAUGUUGUAGCUGCUUACUGUUUUGUGAAUUGAUUGCCUAUUGAACUCGGGUGUCUGUGAACAACAUGCUUGACAUAUAGUACCAUGCAUAGCCUGACUAUGUCAUUUGCAUUUUUCCAGAAACCUGUGGUUUCUUCCUUUUGGAAAUGGAGAUGAAGUCUCUUCGCAUAUGAAACUUAGUCAUUUACAUGUUUUCCCAUUAUUUCAAAAUGUAUUUGACUGUUCUUACCUAUUAAGAUGGUGGUUGAUUUUGUGUGGAAUGGUGGUUGAGUUUGUGGUGAUUUUUGUGUAUAAUGGUGAUUGACUUUGUGGUGAUUUUUUUGACCUUUUGGUGUCUAGUAUCUAGCUAAAGAUGCAUCUUAAUUAGUACUUUCUUGCUUACUCUAGUCAAUCUAAACUUGUUAUUUAAAUGGAAUCAUACCUAUAGAAACACAACUCAACACAAAAGAUCAUCAAAUUGUUUGUCAUAUAAAAGACCUUAUCUUCAGUUUGAAUGACUAGUUAGAAAUAUCCAUUUUUGCUUAGCUCCGUCCGUUACUCGUCCUCUUAAUUAGUUAGUCAUAUAUACAUAUACCACUUUUUUUAAAGAAUUUUAGCACAAAAAGUCCAUACAAACAGCCCAAACCAACAUAUAAAGGAUGAAGGUCAAGAAGGUUGGUGGUGCUUUUAACAACCACCGAUCUACAUCCUAAGUCCGAUAUCCAAGUCUUAAUCAAAGCAUAAUGCCUAGAAAGAAUGAUGAAGAUGAUGUGUGAAAUGUUAACGAUAUUGCAAACUAUCUACAGGUGUUUAGUGAUCUUUUGCCUACUUACUUUUCUCCAUUGGGGAUUAUCCUUUCUGCGUUGAUUAUUGCUAAUUAAUGUCAUGGGUUUCUUCUUCUUGCAAGGUGGCUGUGAUGACACUCUACUCCAGGCCUUGAGAAGAUGCAUGGUAGUGUUUUGUUUGGUGAGUUGAGUGUGAGUUUGGGUUGGGGGUUUUAGUGAGGGGUUGUGGAGUUAGAUAGCAAAAUUGAUGAUUGAUUUUUGGAAAGACUCGAACAAACUGGACUGAAGUUAGAUAGCAUUACUAGUUCUUGCUUGCUGAUUGAUUUUUGGAAAAUUUAUGUUUUCUGUUUGAGAACCAAUCUGUUUGCAAGUGUUUAAUUAUCCCAUCACUUUAACAUGGUAAGUUGAAAAACUUGCAUGCAAAAUGGUUUGCUUGAACAUAUGGCUACUGAACUUGCCCAUAUCGUAUACCGUUUUGCUUUGAUUUUGUUUUUAGUUUAUGUACCAUGCUUUUGUACUUGUUUGGUGUAUUGUACUCAUUUAUGUACUAAACUUUUGUAUGUACUAACUUGCCCAUUUUUACUGGCGUUUUGAUUUCAUGUACUUAAUUAACUACGUAAAUAUUUGCUUUAUGUACUAAUUUAUGGACUUGUGUGACUUUGUAUUCAACAUCGUACUUGAGUUUUUUGUUUUGUAUUGUACUAAAAUAUUUCUUGUAUUUGUUUUUAUUUUGAGUGAUGUUUUGAUUUGGUGUGCUCAAUUAAUUAUGUACUCGUUUUAUUUUAUUUUCAUACAUUUAUUUUUAUUUUGAGUGGNNNN
rnacentral:lncRNA from 1 species